rnacentral:rRNA from 1 species
AGAGUUUGAUCCUGGCUCAGGAUGAACGCUAGCGGCAGGCCUAACACAUGCAAGUCGAACGGUAACAUAAGGUGCUUGCACCUUGAUGACGAGUGGCGCACGGGUGCGUAACGCGUAUACAAUCUACCUUUUACAGGGGGAUAGCCUUUAGAAAUGAAGAUUAAUACCCCAUAGUAUAAUGAUAUGGCAUCGUAUUAUUAUUAAAGAUUCAUCGGUAAAAGAUGAGUAUGCGUUCUAUUAGCUAGAUGGUUUGGUAACGGCAGACCAUGGCAACGAUAGAUAGGGGCCCUGAGAGGGGGAUCCCCCACACUGGUACUGAGACACGGACCAGACUCCUACGGGAGGCAGCAGUGAGGAAUAUUGGACAAUGGAGGCAACUCUGAUCCAGCCAUGCCGCGUGCAGGAAGACUGCCCUAUGGGUUGUAAACUGCUUUUAUACAGGAAGAAACCACUCUACGUGUAGAGUUCUGACGGUACUGUAAGAAUAAGGAUCGGCUAACUCCGUGCCAGCAGCCGCGGUAAUACGGAGGAUCCAAGCGUUAUCCGGAAUCAUUGGGUUUAAAGGGUCCGUAGGUGGAUAAUUAAGUCAGAGGUGAAAGUCUGCAGCUCAACUGUAGAAUUGCCUUUGAUACUGGUUGUCUUGAGUUAUUAUGAAGUAGUUAGAAUAUGUAGUGUAGCGGUGAAAUGCAUAGAUAUUACAUAGAAUACCAAUUGCGAAGGCAGAUUACUAAUAAUCAACUGACACUGAUGGACGAAAGCGUGGGGAGCGAACAGGAUUAGAUACCCUGGUAGUCCACGCCGUAAACGAUGGUUACUAGCUGUUCGGAUUUCGGUCUGAGUGGCUAAGCGAAAGUGAUAAGUAACCCACCUGGGGAGUACGUUCGCAAGAAUGAAACUCAAAGGAAUUGACGGGGGCCCGCACAAGCGGU